rnacentral:ncRNA from 1 species
GAAAAAAUUAAUUUUUUUUUAAAAAUUCAUUAUAUGAAUAGUUAAUAUAAAUAAAUUUUUUUAAUUUAAUAAGUUAAUUUAAAAAAUUAUAUCUUAUAUAUAGUUAAUAUUUAAUUAUGAUUUAUAAAAUUUAAUCAUUUAAAUAAUAGUAAUUUAUAAUAAGAAAAAUAAAUUUAGUGCCAGCAAUUGCGGUUAAACUAAUAUUUUUGAGUGAAUUUUUUUAAUUAAUUAAAUAAUUAUAAAUUUUAUAGGUGAUAAAAUGAGUGAGUUAUUAUAUGGUGAAAUAAUUAAUGGCUUAAAUUUUUUAUUUGAGUAAUAAUUAAAGAAUUUAUAAAAUUAAGAGAUAAACUAGGAUUAGAUACCCUAUUAUAUUAAUUAAAUGAUAUUGAUUUAAAAGUAAAUGUUGAUCAUUAAAUUUAAAUAAUUUGACGGUAUUUAAAUUAGUUAGAGGAAUUUGUUAGUUAAAUGAUAGUCCACGAGAGGAGGGUCCCAAAUAUUUAGUUCUUAUAUAUUGUUGUUUUAUAUUAAUUUAUUAGGAUUAAAUUAUAAAUAUUUUUAUAGAAUUAUAAUUCAAAUCAAAAUGUAGGAUUAUUGGGGUUAAAUGAAUUACAAUUUAUUUAAUUAUUGGAUAUAUAAUUUUAAUUAUUAUGUUGAAAGAGGAUUUAAUAGUAAAUUUUUAAAAUUUUAUAAAUUGAAAUAAAGAAUUAAAUAUGUACAAAUUGCCCGUCAUUUUCAUGAAUCUAUAAGUGAGAGAAGUCGUAACAAAGUAAAUGUAUAGGAAUAUGUAUUUAGAUUAGU